UACGAAGGGGGCUAGCGUUGCUCGGAAUCACUGGGCGUAAAGCGCACGUAGGCGGAUUGUUAAGUCAGGGGUGAAAUCCUGGAGCUCAACUCCAGAACUGCCUUUGAUACUGGCGAUCUUGAGUCCGGGAGAGGUGAGUGGAACUGCGAGUGUAGAGGUGAAAUUCGUAGAUAUUCGGAGGAACACCAGUGGCGAAGGCGGCUCACUGGUCCAUUACUGACGCUGAGGUGCGAAAGCGUGGGGAGCAAACAGG
rnacentral:rRNA from 1 species